UACGAAGGGGGCUAGCGUUGUUCGGAAUCACUGGGCGUAAAGGGCGCGUAGGCGGCUUGAUAAGUCGGGGGUGAAAGCCUGUGGCUCAACCACAGAAUUGCCUUCGAUACUGUCGAGCUUGAGACCGGAAGAGGUAAGUGGAACUGCGAGUGUAGAGGUGAAAUUCGUAGAUAUUCGCAAGAACACCAGUGGCGAAGGCGGACUUACUGGUCCGGUUCUGGACGCUGAGGCGCGAAAGCGUGGGGAGCAAACAGG
rnacentral:rRNA from 1 species